AGCGAACGCUGGCGGCAUGCCUAACACAUGCAAGUCGAGCGCUCCCAGCAAUGGGGGAGCGGCGGACGGGUGAGUAACGCGUAGGAACGUAUCCUGAGGUGGGGGAUAACCCUGGGAAACUAGGGCUAAUACCGCAUGAUGGCGAGAGCCCAAAGAUUUAUCGCCUUGGGAGCGGCCUGCGUCUGAUUAGCUUGUUGGUGGGGUAACGGCCUACCAAGGCGAUGAUCAGUAGCUGGUCUGAGAGGAUGAUCAGCCACACUGGGACUGAGACACGGCCCAGACUCCUACGGGAGGCAGCAGUGGGGAAUAUUGGACAAUGGGCGAAAGCCUGAUCCAGCAAUGCCGCGUGGAUGAAGAAGGUCUUCGGAUUGUAAAGUCCUUUCGGCGGGGACGAUGAUGACGGUACCGCAGAAGAAGCCCGCUAACUCGUGCCAGCAGCCGCGGUAAAACGUGUGUGUA
rnacentral:rRNA from 1 species